GAUGAAGAACGUAGCGAAAUGCGAUAAGUAAUGUGAAUUGCAGAAUUCCGUGAAUCAUCGAAUCUUUGAACGCACAUUGCGCCCCCUGGUAUUCCGGGGGGCAUGCCUGUCCGAGCGUCAUUGCAACCUUCAAGCGCGGCUUGUGUGUUGGGUCUCGUCCCCCGUGGACGGGCCCGAAAGGCAGUGGCGGCGUCCCGACAUGGUGCCCGAGCGUAUGGGAAUCCUCUUCCGCUCGAAUCGGCCCAUGCGGCGCUGGUCGUAACCAAAUUUUUUACCGGUGGACCUCGGAUCAGGUAGGGAUACCCGCUGAACUUAAGCAUAUCAAUAAGCGGAGGA
rnacentral:misc_RNA from 1 species